AUGUUCAGUCUUCUGAGUGUUUUGUUGAUUAAUUUGUGUUACUACUCUUUUAUUAGGAUUUAUGUUGUCUGGUGUAUUGUAGCAUCUGUAUUUCUGUCACCAUUGAAAAUCAGUUAGAAAACAUCAGUAACUUAUUUUGUUCACUUGGAAAAGCUUUCCAAGUUAACAUUCCUCUACAACUAUCAUGGUUAACAGAAGUAAUAGAAAGAGCAUGGACUUUAGAAUCAGAAGAUGUUAGAUUGUACAACACUUUUCUGUGUUCAUGAAGAAAAAAAUAGAAUAAAGACAAAAAAUAAUAAUACAAAACAACAGAAAAACAAAGAAAAGAUAAUUAAAAAACACUUUCACGUGUAUUAUUAUUUAAAGUGUAAAGUGCUUAUUAAAGUGACAAAAAUGUAAAUAAGAUAAAAUAUAUCAUUUUAGAGUUUUUACUUUUGGAAUUUUUUGCAAAUGAAAGCCCUCAAUUAAUGUCUUUUAUUUUUAGUUGCCUGUGCCCCUCGAGUCUGUAAAAGAGAUGCUUAAGUCAGUCAUGCAGGAACUCGAAGCCUAUAGUGAAGGAGGUCCUCUCUAUACAAAUGGUUCUUUGCGAAAUGCAGAUUCAGAAAUAAAACAUUCUACACCGUCUCAUACCAGAUAUUCACUAUCACCAAGUAAAAGUUACAAGUAUUCUCCCAAAACACCACCUCGAUGGGCAGAAGAUCAGAAUUCUUUACUGAAAAUGAUUUGCCAACAAGUAGAGGCCAUUAAGGUAAGUCACUUAAUUUCUCUAGCUGUACUUUUUAUGCCAAGAUUCCUUCCCUGGCCACUCUCUCACUGUUUUUCUGAAGCUGGUCAGAAUGUCCCCUUGCCAUCCAAAUAGUAUGGCAAGGGGACAUUUUGGUCUUUUUUUUUUUUUAAGACAGGGUCUUGUUCUGUUGUGCAGGCUGGAGUACAGUGGUAUGAUCACAGCUUACUGUGGCUUCGACCUCCUAGCUCAAGAGAGGCUCUUGGCUCAGCCUGCCACGAAGCCAGGACUACAGACAGUCACACGCCACCAGGCCCAGCUAAUUGUUGUAUUUUUUGUAGAGAUGGGAUUUUGCCAUGUUGCCCAGGGUGGCCUUGAACUCCUGGCUCAAAGAAUCCUCCUGCUUCAGCCACCCAAAGUGCUGGGAUUGCAGGUGUGAGCCACUGUGCCCAGCCUACAUACCUCGGUCUUGACCCUUUACCAUAUUUUGUUUUGUUUUGUUUUGUUUUGAGAUGGAGUCUCACUCUGUUGCCCAGUCUGGAGUGCAAUGGUGCGAUCUUGGCUCACUGCAACCUCCACCUCCCAGGUUCAAGCGACUCUCCUGCCUCAGCCUCCCGAGUAGCUGGGAUUACAGGCACCUGCCACCAGGCCCAGCUAAUUUUUGUAUUUUUAGUAGACACAGAGUUUCACCAUGUUGGCCAAGCUGUUUUUGAACUUCUGACCUCAGGUGAUCUGCCCGCCUUGGCCUCCCAAAGUGCUGAGAUUACAGGUGUAAACCCCCGCACCCAGCCCUUUACCGUAUUUUUGAAAGUACUUUAUGUGUCUCUCUCCUCAUCUUCCACAAAAUUUGAGACCUUCAAAGGUAGAAACUGUUUUAUUUAAAAUAUAAGAGUUCGUGGCACAGAGAAGUUUCCUGAGUGAUUGAACUGCUACAAUGUACUAAUCAUACUCUGGUCUAUGAGUUCAUUCCCAGAUUAGCUGUGGAUCACAUGUGUUUCAAAUGUAUAGCUAGGAAUUGAAAAGUGGUCUGAGCUUCAGAAAGUCUUACUAUAUUUUAAUACUUCCAUAUGAAUUUGACUUAAUUAUGUAAGGAAAUAGUUAUGUAUAUAUAUCUUAUUUUAACAAUAGGGUUCAAAGGAGCUUGACUUUUUUGGAAUUGGAAAUAAAAGUAGGUUCUUUCAUGUUUAUCAGGCAAGAACUAAAUUACUCAUACUGCUAAGGUUACAUCAAGGAUAUGCUGAUGUGUGGCGAUUAUUACAGUGUGAUCAGCAGUAUUUGCAACUUAAGAGAAUACUGUUCGGUGGGGAAGACAUUUUUGAAUUUGCACAAAAGUUUUGAAUGUUAAUUCUGUGUAGUCGUGGCCUAUGACAAUUACAUACAAUUUUGACUUAACAUACAGGUUUCCGGCUCCCAACAUUGUAUUCUGUGGAAGUAUCGUGGAGCACUAAUCCAUGAGCUUGAAAAGCUUGGUACUAGUACUGACUCUGCCAUUAAUUAAUGAUCUUGGGCCAGUCACUUCCAUUGUGACUGUUUGGCUUCUUAUCUUUAAAAUGAGAGAAUUAUUGAAGCCAGUUCUCAUCACACUGAAUGUUAAAAAUUACAGUUACAGCAGUGAUUGCAAAUUCAAAGCUCUGGUGCGGAUACCAACAGUGACCAUAAAGUUUUCUAGGUGAUUCCACUAGUUUCUUAUUGGAUGUGUAUGUGUAGCAUCUGGACUAGGCACUGUAGAUGGAUGAGUGGGGGAAAUUUUAUUUAGCUUGAAAAUUGAGAUAGUUUUGGACCUCAUGGUUAGGUCUUUCUGGGAAAUUUUUAAUUGAAACACUUCUAGAAAAAGAAAGCAGACAUGCUAGAUCUGUCCCUGACCUCACUUGUUAGAACUGAUCGGAUUCCUGGGCUGAUACAGAGAAGUUUGAAACUUUUCAAAAUUUACCUGUUUUCUGAUACCACUACAGUUUCUUUGGAAAAAGAAUUUCCUGUUAAGUGUCUGUUUUGUAAGGGGACAUUUUGUAGGUUCUAGGGUUGGGUGGAUGGGUAUGGUGCUGUCAUUUAGUUGUCUUCAGCGGAGAUUCAGCGUAGCC
ensembl:lincRNA